rnacentral:rRNA from 1 species
GACGGAGGGUGCAAGCGUUGUUCGGAAUCACUGGGCGUAAAGGGCGUGUAGGCGGUCAGGUAAGUGGAAUGUGAAAUCCCUCGGCUCACCCGAGGACCUGCAUCCCAAACUGCCUGGCUUGAGUAUGGGAGAGGAUGAGGGAAUUCCUGGUGUAGCGGUGAAAUGCGUAGAUAUCAGGAGGAACACCGGUGGCGAAGGCGCUCAUCUGGCCCAAUACUGACGCUGAAGCGCGAAAGCUAGGGGAGCAAACGGG